GACGAACCAUGCAAACGUUAUUCGGAAUUACUGGGCUUAAAGCGUGCGUAGGCGGCUCAGAAAGUUGGGUGUGAAAUCCCUCGGCCUAACCGAGGAAUUGCGCCCAAAACUACUGGGCUCGAGGGAGUUAGAGGUGAGCGGAACUCACGGUGGAGCGGUGAAAUGCGUUGAUAUCGUGAGGAACACCGGAGGCGAAAGCGGGUUGCUGGGCUGACACUGACGCUGAGGCGCGAAAGCUAGGGGAGCGAACGGG
rnacentral:rRNA from 1 species